UAGGGAAUCUUCGGCAAUGGACGAAAGUCUGACCGAGCAACGCCGCGUGAGUGAAGAAGGUUUUCGGAUCGUAAAACUCUGUUGUUAGAGAAGAACAAGGACGUUAGUAACUGAACGUCCCUGAAGGUAUCUAACCAGAAAGCCACGGCUAAAUAAGUGCCAGCAGCCGGGGUAAUACGUAGGUGGCAAGCGUUGUCCGGAUUUAUUGGGCGUAAAGCGAGCGCAGGCGGUUUCUUAAGUCUGAUGUGAAAGCCCCCGGCUCAACCGGGGAGGGUCAUUGGAAACUGGGAGACUUGAGUGCAGAAGAGGAGAGUGGAAUUCCAUGUGUAGCGGUGAAAUGCGUAGAUAUAUGGAGGAACACCAGUGGCGAAGGCGGCUCUCUGGUCUGUAACUGACGCUGAGGCUCGAAAGCGUGGGGAGCAAACAGG
rnacentral:rRNA from 1 species